UCACUUUUAUUAUUAUGAUAUUUAAGCUCCAGCAGUAGUUUUGUUAUAAUUUGCUUGUUAUUCUAGUAGGGUUAUCAUGGGGUCACUUGUAAUCCUAGGUUUUGUGUCCACGUCUUGGGGGUAGGGCAUGACAAAUCUCGUCCUUUCCGACCUCCGACCAGACCCGAAACCCCUUUGCUAUUCUCCUACAAACAACCCGAACAACCACCCAAAACCCCUUUCCCUUUCCCCCUUUGCUAUUCUCCUACAAACAACCCGAACAACCACCCAAAACCCCUUUCCCUUUCUCGCUUUUGCUGCUACAGCAAAACAACAACUAAAACCUCAAACGCAGAGAAAAAACAACCUCCAAAUCCACCCAAAGAACCAGAAUUUAAAACCGGGCUUUCCCCCUUUAUUUUGAUUUUCGUUUGUUUUUGCAGGUUAUAAGAAAUCUUGACCCCCACGGACGAAACCCAAUCUCCGUUCUCCAUUUCUCCGGUUACCAGACCUCCAUUAAACGAGCACCGAGUUCUCAUUCUGAUCGAAUUUUCCAUCUCUAGUGAUUAGCAGAUCCAACUUUUUGCUUUCUCAGGUAAAAGUUGUUUAUUUAUUUUUUUCUUUUGCUGCUUGUUCAGAUUAUUGAGGAUGAACUUAGUAUUACCUUCUAAUUUAAUUUGCAUUUUUUCAUGGUGAUUAGAGCAUCUAUUCAGUUCUAGUGUUUAGAUUGCAGAAUGUUAAGUUAUUAAGUUACUGGUUUUUUGAUAAAUUUUAUGGCUUCUAUUGAGUGAUUAUUAGUUUUCUAUUAUUUUUAUUUUGUUUAAUAUUCAUUGUUCUGGUUUAAUUGUUAUUAUUUUAUUAUAGUUAAUAAUUGUUGGAUGAUUAAUUUUUUAUUUAUUUGUUUCUAUGAUUUGUUAUAGUACACAUUUGUAAUCACUCUUCAUUAUUUUAAUAUAUUGGUAUAAUAGUGAACACUAAAUUUAGUGAGGUUUCUCUUCUUGUUAUUGAGUUUUUUUUAGAAUUGUUAUUUUGCUUAAGCAAGUUUAUUGUGGUGAUGAGUCAUUUAGGUGGCUAGGUUAGUGUUGCUCGCUUUGAACUUGAAGAUAUUAGUAAAGCCAUUUGAUAAGAAUAUUUUCAUGUUUACUUUUGAUCCUUUCUUAUCUUUCAUUGUUUGAAUAAAUUCAUAAACGUUGUUAAUUGAAAUUGACUAAUGAAAAAAAAUCCUUGAUUUUAGAAGUCUCUCUAUUUUAAAAGACAGAAAUUUAAUUUAAUUUCAUAUUUUGUUUAUUAAAAUUGGACGAUUAAGAGAUUACCGUCAAUUUCUAAGGCCUCCUAUGUUAAUAAGAUAAAUUUUUAUUUUUAAGUUAUUAUUUGAUCUAUUCCUAUUUAUUCAUGUUCCUAUAAAGCUAUUCAACUGAAGUUCAAAUUUUAUUCUUUAUUCAUUAUCUUGUAUAUAUCGAUAUUAGGAAAACCUUAAGCUGAUAUUAUUGUUUUAUUUUAGUAUCGUGCAUAUUGCAUGUUUAUUAUACUUGUAUAUUAUUCUUAUCUCCUCCUCAACUAAGUCGGGAACCACCGUUAUGAAUUUCGAAGGAUGUCUAACACCUUCCCUUCAAAAUAACUUGAACCCCCCCUUACCUAGAAUAUGUUGGUUUCGUAGAUAUUUAUUUUAAGUUAAAUUUGUUAAUUGGUUUCCUAGUUUUCCUAAAAACAUAGGUAGCGACUGCCUUUUACCCUUUUUAAGAAUUCUUUUUAAACUGAAUUAUUGUUUUUGGUGUGUCACCGCGAUGUUGCGCUCUCUCAAAAGAUGUCAACAUAUAUGACCUGUUUCAAAAGUCUGUUUCGAUUAAGAAUGCGGUCACACAUAUAUUUUUUAGGACAUUAAGAUUAACUCAAAGAUGCAAUAAUGUACCUUUUCCAAUAAUAUAAUUAUAUUUCACUUAUGUAAAUUGACAAUUUUAUAUAAAAUUAUUAAGUGUGAUGCAAUCUUGGGACAUUAAAAUUAACUCUAGGAUGCAAUAAAACAACAUGUCCAAAAAUAUAAUUAUAUUUCCUUUAUGUAAAAUAAUGUUUUAAGAUAAAAUUAUUAAGCAUGAUGCAAAGAAGAUAAUUAUAUUUCUAAAUAUUAAGACCAAGAAUGUUGUUGUAUCUAGGUCGAGACCAAAUAAAGGUUCAACAAAUAAAAAUGUGAGAAAAUCAUGACCUACAAAAAUAUAUCCAAAAGAUACCUAAAAUAAGUUUAAGUCAAUAAAUGUGAUCGUGUAAGAACCACAGAACUCGAGGGAUGCCUAAUACAUUCUCCUCGGUCAACAAAUUUUUUUACCCCAAAUUUCUAGUUCGCACACCAAAUAAGGUGUCACACCCCGAGCCUACACCCUGGACAGGAUUGUCACUCAGAGACAAUUGUUGUCCUCGAGCAGACCCUUGUUCGGGUUUACUUAAAACAUCAAAAAACUAUAUGCAUUUUUUCAUAAGAUCUAUGAAGCCUCUAAAACCACUGAGAUGCAUGUUGAGACAAAUCCCUCUAGAUCCUAAUGAACUGAACUAGAAAGAAAAUAAAAGAUUCCUCCAGAAUGCAAGAAGGCUCUUUAAUAGACUCCGAAUGCUCAAGCUCGAUCAACAUGUAUCGUGGUUCCCUGCAUCUGCUUCAUAAUAAGAUGCAGACCAACUGACAUCAGUAAAUUGAACAAACGAGUAUGCGAGUUCGAAUGCUAAAACAACAUAGGCUUGAAAGGUAAAUCUGAGAAACUUACCUAGUUCAACUUGACUCAGCAAUAUUGGACUCAUUUCAAUAUAAUAAUUUAAAAGAAAGUGCAAUCUACAGAAAAGUUGUUUAAAACAUGAUGUGAGCUCUGUGUAUACACAAGGAUACAAUAUAACUCUGAAAUAUAUUUAGAAAGACAAAUAACUGUGCAUAUAGAAAUACAAUUACUUUUGUGGAAGUUUCUCGAACCGGAAACAAUUACAUAAGAGCUAUGGUAAUGAUACCCCGAUCUAUCUUAUGCUGCUAGCACAUCCUAUACACGGCCAAAGGUAUAGGACCUGAACUACUAAAUAGAUCCACUAGUUUAUAGUGAAAAGGAUUCAUCUAAAAAGUAUGACCCUUCUCUACCCAUGGUGGCUACAUGGUUAUAUGGAGACGUGAGUUAUCUGAACUCAUGAUCGUCCCCAAUUCGGUGCUCAAUACUACUCCCACAACAGACUAGUACUUACGUUUUAAAAACAUACUUCUUAAUGAUUUGAGAUUAAUGCUAAAAAACAUAGAUCAAAGUCUAUCUUGGAGAUCUCAAUUUCCCGUCUUGCUUUGUUUAUAAAGCUUUUAAUAUUUUCUAAAAACUAGCCCGAAAGGUGUUAGGAAAUCUCAGUUUCCGUUCUUACUUAAAUGUGAAAAUAUUUUAAAUCUCUUUGGGAAUAUCUAGUCCUGUAUAUAUAUUUUUUUUGAGAACAGAACUUCAAUUUCUCUUCACUGAACUAAAAAAUUAUGUCUUAAAUUAAAGUAAAAACAUUUGUGGAAAGAAUUUUGAAAAUGUUGAAUAAACUUCUCUUACUUGACUCUUGACUUUGAUCUUAACUACUCUUGACUUGAGUCUUUACUAAUCAUUUAGUUAAAUUAUGGAUUCAAGGAAUAUGAUUUGUGUUUAAAAAGAUCUCAUGAUGUUUGGGAAUGAUUUUAGAUAGCGCAACAUGAGAAAAGUCACGAAAUCACUCUCUUGGAAAAAAUUUGCGAUGUGGAGAUAUUUUAAGAAAUUACUCGUAAAAUAAAAUUUUGAGGUAGAUGAGUUUGUGUCCUAACCACGACGUGGAGAAACGUUUUUUUCUCACAAGGGGAGAAAGUGUUGCAAACUUGCUUGCCAGAUUGCGCUCGACUUUUACCUUCAUCAUUUAACAGCCCAAAUUCGACUAAACUAGAAUAUUUUCCCAAAUUCAUUUUAGAUUUUGAUACCCAACAUAUGUACUCAAUAACCUAACUCAAUACAACUAUAAAACUCAAUGUUAAGAUCUAAGAAACUCCACAAUUCAAUCCAAACCAAGAGAAACAUUCAAAUUCAAGAAUACAUAUCAAAAACAUCAACUUUCAAACUCUUUUGGGACAAAUUGCACGGAACUGAACAUGGUUGGCACGCGGAUGAACUAAAGCAAUGCUAUGAAGACACACAUACCUUGUAGGAUCAAUUCCUUGGCGAAUCCACAACAAAAAUUAUUCGUCCUUUCUGAUUCUUGUUUUUUCUCUUAACUUUUCUCUUGCGUUCUUUCUCCAAAAUUCCUAAUUCUUUUUUCAAAAGCGUAAACUAGACUAACUAAGUUAUGACCCCAAUAUAUUUACUAAAAACGAAAUUAAUUAGUUGGGCAAGGAAAAGACCAAACUACCUUUCUAAAAUCUACAUUGGCUAAUUCCUUAAUCGAAAAACUCAACUUUCAAAGGACAUAUCUUACUCAUAUGAACUCAAAAUUGCACACUCACCUAGAAGUUAUGGACACUUGAAGUUGACCAAAACUCUACGUUUCAUAACUUAAAAUGAUAAUUUCAAGUUAUAAAAUUCUUUCUAGCUAUUUCAAUUUGUGAGAUGUUACAAUACUCCCCCUUGGAAACAUUCAUCCUCGAAUGAGAUUACUCUUACUAGGCUAAAGGUGGUAACAUCUAGUUUAAACACCAAACGAGGAAAUUAAAACAAACAAUAGGCUCACUCAUAAUUUAAAGAGUACUAAGAAGAAAAUUAGUGCCUUGGUCUGCAUUUUCUCUGGAUUCACAGAUAUGUGGAUAUCUCUUUUUCAUAUCCUCUUCAACUUUCCAAGUGUUCCCUCAACAAAUUGAUUCAUCCAUAGAGCUGUGAUUGAUGUUAAUUCCUUGGUCCUCCUCAACUUGCAAACUUGGAAAUCUAGAAUCUGGACCAAAAACUCUUCAAAACAUAAGUUAUACUUGAUACUAAUAUACUGAGGACUAAGUUUCCCCUUCUAAAAAAACCUCAAUACCACACUUCUUGAGUGCAGCGUUCAAGUAUACUCAAUCAUCUGCUUCAAACCAUCCAAUAGGAUAUGUGUAUCUUAUCCCAUACAGAGCUUCGUAAGGAGCCAUCUGGAUACUAGAAUGGUAACUAUUGUUGUAGGAAAUUUCAAUGAGAGAUAGGUGAUCAUCUCAAUUACCCUUGAAAUCAAUUAUACAAUCUACCUUAAAUACUCAAAACACUAUCUCCUCCUUGUUCAAAAGACACCAACUUUUGCUUAUGAAAACUUGUCUUUAAUUCAAGCAAUAAAGGAUCUUAGUCUUUCUUCUACUCUUAGUUCUGACAAUAAUGAUGAUUCAACCCCAUUCAUCACCACUACCCCUCUUCUAUGAAAAUCCAUUAGUCGAACUCCUAUUCGUGCAAGUCUAUGCACCUCUUUUGCUAACUCUCUCUUACCUUUCUCAAAAUAGGAGGUAUUACCCAUUGAUAACCUGCUCAAGGCAUCAACAACAACAUUAACCUUGCCUGGGUGAUAAAAGAAUAUUCAUGUCAUUAUCUUUAAGUAACUUGAACAACCUCCUCUGUCUAAGAUUAAGCUCUUUCUGACUAAACACACAUCGAAGGUACUAGUGAUUGAUAAACACAUCUUAUGAACUCCAUAAAGAUAAUGGCACCAUAUAUUCACAGCGAAUACUACUGCAACAGACUCUAAGUCAUGGGUUGGGUAACUCUUCUCGUGAACCUUAAACUGGCUUGAGACAUAAGCUAUAACUUUGUCAGUCUGUAUUAACAUACAACAAAAUUAAACUCUAGAUGCAUCACAAUACACGACAAAACCUUGAGUACCUUUUGGUACGGUCAAAACUAGGCACUAGUCAACCUCUUUUUCUAUUCUUGAAAGAUUUUCUCACAAGCUUCAGACUAUUGAAACUUAAUUGUCUUCUUAUUCAACUUGGUAAAAGGAUAUGAAAUAGAAGUACCCCUCUAUGAACUUUCUAUAGUAGCCAGCAUAUCCCAAGAAACUACUAAUAUCAGUCGUAGAUGUGGGUCUAGGCCAACUCUGCACUACCUCUAUCUUUUGGGUAUCAACUCUAAUUCAAUCACCAGACACUAUGUGGACUAAGAACGCCACAAACUCAAGCCAAAACUCAUAUUUAGAGAACUUAGCAUAUAAAUCAUUAUCUUUCAAAGUAUGAAAAAUAUUCUGAGAUGUCUAGCAUGAUCUUCUCCAUUUCUCGAAUAGAUUAGAAUGUCAUCAAUGAAGACGAUAACAAACAUAUCUAAGUAAGGCUUGAAUAAACUAGUCAUAAGGUGCAUGAAUGUUGUUGGUGCAUUACUGAACCCAAAGGACAUGACUAAAAACUCAAAAUGACUACAUCGACAUCUGAAAGUUGUCUUUAGAAUAUCACAUUCCCUUAAUCUCAAUUGAUGGUAGCCAGAUCUGAUAUCUAUCUUAGAAAAAUAGGUGGCACCCUGAAUUUGAUCGAAUAAAUCAUUAAUCCUUUGAAGAUGAUACUUGUUCUUGAUGGUAACCUUUUUCAAUUUACGAUUGUCUAUACACAUCCUAAGGGAACCAUUUUUAUUUCUCACAAACAAGACCGGAGGGCCCCAAGGUGAGAUAAUUGGUCGAAAGAAACCCUUAUCUAAUUGAUCCUUUAACUUCUCUGUAAGCUCUUUCAAUUCUGCUAGUGCCAUUCUGUAUGACGAAAUAGAUAUAGGAUGAGUAUCUGGAAGAACAUCUAUACCGAAGCCUAUCUCACUCUCAGGAGAAAAUCUAGUAAUAUCGUCUAAACAGACCUCUGGAAACUCUUUUACUACUAGAGGUACCUCAACACUUGAGUCAUUAACUCGGACCAAGUAAUAGACACACCCUUUAGAAACUAACUUACUUUCUUUAAGGUACAAAAUGAAAUGACCCUUAGACACUAAUGAACGGCUUUUCCACUCUAAGACUGGCUCAUUUGGAGACUAAACAUGACUAUUCGAGUUCUAUAAUCAAGUGAGGCAGAAUAGGCAUGAAUCCAAUCCAUAUUGAGAUCGACUUCAAAACUACCAUAUCUAACUAAGUGAAAUCAUCCAUGGUACUCUUGUGAUUGAUGAAAAUGGGAAAAUCACAAUAUAUUCUCUCUGCUAGAAUGGACUCACCAAAAGGUGAAGAAACAUUUAACGGUUAAGUAAGUUCCUUAGGAAUAAUAUCAAAGUGUAACACCUUGAAAAUCAAAGACACAUUGUAAGGCCUAACAUAGGUGUCAUGACGUCUAAGUACUAUUAUAAUUUCAUUUUAAAUAAAUAUAGGUCAUUUAUAAGGGACGUCCAUUACGUUCAAAAAGUUGGUUCAAAGGGAUGUUAGUGUGCAUUAGCCUAUUUGACUAACUUUUAGGAGUCAGAAAUGUAAAAAAAUUGGUGGAAAGAUAGAUAAUAAGUGUUUGAGUGGCUUCAUGGUUGAAACGUCCGGGUACAACUCCCCAAAGACCAACCAAGGGCCCUUGAGGAGGACUCUUGUAGUUUGAUACAACACUGCCUGGCAAUGUGCAUCAACGGGACAGAAGACGUCCCAUGUGUGGACGGAAGUGGCGUCAAUGUCACCGUCAUCCCACACUUAGGCUGGUAGAGAAGGCCCUUUCACCCACACAACCUCUGAACUCAUUUGACGGAGUGCAAAGGUGCAGACUACGGCUCGUAUCUGGAUCGACGGGGCGUCGAUGCCAUCGUCGUCCCACACUUAAACAAUUUGAGAAAUCCCCUCACCUGCACAGUCCGACGGUUAAACAAUUUGAGAAAUCCCCUCACCUGCACAGUCCGACGGUUAAACAAUUUGAGAAAUCCCCUCACCUGCACAGUUCGACGGUUAAACAAUUUGAGAAAUCCCCUCACCUGCACAGUCUCUACAAAGAAGAAGGAGUGCAGGACGGAGGGGGGAUGUCCGUCGACUCACAUAAGGUCCGUCGAUCGGGGUUUCGUCUAUAAGGGUUGAGUUUUCUACCUAAUUUAAGUUGGUCUUAUUUAUUUAAUUAAGUGGUUUAGGGAUUAGUUGGGGAUUAAAUGGAGACUAAUUAACUUAUUAAGUCCCAUUAUAAAUACCCUCAACUCUCAUUAACCUAAAAACAACUCUCACAUGAACUCACUUCCUUCUCUCUUAUCUCUCUCUCUACAUGAACUCACCAUUGAAGACUAGCAAGGACAAGGGUUUCGAGGUUGGAAAGGGAAAAAUUCACCAUCAAAUUGUUGACAAACGUUAAGGUAUGGGUUAUAUUCACCUUUGAGACUCUUUCCUCAAAGGGUUCCUUCAAAAAUAUAUUUCAAAAGUUGAGUUUUCCUAUGGGUUUAAAGUUAUAGAUUGAGUUGUUAAUGAUUUCUUAGGGUUAUAUUGAGUAUAUUAAUAUUUAAUUCAACUUUUUUAUGGUAAUUGUUGAUGGUUUGGUCUAAAUAUAAGGAUAUGAUCCUAUAUCCCUAACCCUAGGUAUUUAUCUUGACCUAUAUUGUAUUGUGAUCAUUCAAUUGAGUAGGUUGUUGAUUUGAUUACUAUCCUAUCAUGCUAGUUCUUGAGAUGAGAUUUAGGUUAUGAAUUAAAAUGUGAAAUUAGCCUAUGUAUCUUGUCACAAGUUAUGAUCUAGAGUUGAAUUGUGUUAUAGAGAUGCAAUUCGCCUUGUUAUAAUAUUGGUUAUCAUUAUGUGAUAAUGUUACUCCAUAAAUUGGGUUGAGUUAUGGGUUGAUGGUAAGACCUUGAUGAUAGACUACGAGGAAGACUAGGUAAGUCUUAGAAUCUCUAUCUUUACUUCCAAUUGUGAUUAGUUGUUGUUAAGUCAAGAUAUUGCAUUGUAGUAUGCCUUAUACUAGGAUUAUAGGGUUGUAUGAUGUUGAAUUGAAAUGUCGUGACCAUGUUGUGAGGUUGAUUAAGGUGUAUGUCAUAUAAGGAUGGAGAAAACUAUCAAUGUGCCUUAAUAUGAUAUGAAAUUCUAAUAUGUUAACCUCACUUAUAUGAAUUGUGAUGCAAGGACUUAUACUCAUACAAUUCUUAUUGAGCUAUUGAUGAUGAUGAUUAUAUAAGGGGUAUACCCUAUGAACUAAAUUAAGCUAUGAUUUUUAAUUAAAGGCUUAAAGACAUUUCAAAAAGGGACUCUAGCUUAGCACCGAGUGAACUAGAUUGUGGAGUGUCCUUUCUCACAUAGGAAAGGUAGGAACACUACAUUACUCUUGAGAUUGGAGACUAUAAUGCAUGGCGCAUAAAGAGGGUCCCAACUAUAUCUCUAGUUCUUGAACUAUGUUUCCCCCAUAUGAAUACUAGCUAGUGGAUCCACGUAGUUGCUAUGUUUCAUGUUUUGGUACUACCUUGGCAAGUAGUACGCCUUUUUUCGGUGUAGGGUUUUAUGACACCAUAUUCCACACUAGGUCAUGUGGUCUAUGUCAGUUAGGGAAAGAUGUUCCCAAAAGGUAAAAUGAAUUAAAGGACUCGAACUCUAACUUGGAUAACCUAAGGGGUCUAGCUUAGUCUAGGUAAGGGUAUGAGACUCUACCUAAAUAUUGCACUAGUUAGACUUGGGGGAGUCUUAGGAGAAGAUUCUUAUAUAUGUUUAUGUUAUGAUAAUAUAUGAUGUAUAUAUGAUGACAAUGACACAUUGUUGAUACUAUAUGAUGAUCAGUUCAUUUAUGAAUAUGCCUUGAGUUACAAUGUUAAUAUAUGAUGUAAUGUAAACCUAAAUGCCAUGAUAUGUAAAGUUGGACAUUCGACAUGUAUUCUUGUUGAGGAUACUUGAUUGAGUAAGGUUAUGGGGCUUUGCUUGGUCAUUGUACUUCUUGACUUGAUAAGAACUUAUGAGUAGUUAUCUUGCUUAUUAUCAUAUUGUUUGACUCUUAUUCAUUCUUGUGAUAGUAUUCCUUGAUGUUAGGGUUGUAGUAAAUCAUGGUUUCAAGUAUGUUGGGAUAAGUGUUACUUGUUGAGAUUGUAAGCAUGUUUGGUUGAUUGAUAUGACUUACUUGACUUUGCAUUAAGUCCCUAGAAGGGUAAAAUAACAUGUUUUGACAAAAAGUCCCUUUUAGCAUGUUUUGCUUUUGUAUGUGCAUAAGAUCCCAUACUUAGUAUAUGUGGAGUACUAACCCCAUUUUCUUUUCUUUUUCCCAAACAUUUUAGGUUUCGGUCAUUGAAGAGUUUGAAAGGCGACGUUGUUGAAGGCUUGGAUUCUUUCUUUCAUCCAAGUAGGGAAGAUCCUCAUCUUUCGAGGGCAAUUCCAUCCUCUAGCUUACGGAUUUUGUUAUGAGCUUAUUUACUCUUUCAUUCCUUUCCUUUUUGAUUGAGUAUUGUACUUUUGUAUGACCUAUAUAUGUCUUGUUGGAUUGAUGUAAGGGCUAUGCCCAUAUUUUGAUAUUUGUUUAGAUGGUAUGAGAUGAGACAAACGUUGAGACUAUUUCUAUAUUUUACGUAUAUAUAUAUGUGCAAUAAAAGUAGAAGGCUAUGUAUCUUCCUAUACGAAGGGUCUAUGUAUACUCGAUUUGAAUAUAUAUUAUGUGUAUGUAGAUGUCAAUGUAAACCUCCAAGUAGUGAUAAUGAACAUUUUAAAUUUUUUUGCAAUUUUUCAACCGAUGAAUGUAAUGACAUGAAACUAAGAGGCUAGUAUUAGUCCUUGAAAAAGACGACG
rnacentral:lncRNA from 1 species